GAUCAGAUCAGUAUCAGGUGAGAACGGUCAUGUGAUCAGAUCAGUAUCAGGUGUGAUCAGAUAAGUAUCAGGUGUGAACAGUCAUGUGAUCAGUAUCAGGAGUGAACAGUCAUGUGAUCAGAUCAGUAUCAGGUGUGAACAGUCAUGUGAUCAGAUAAGUAUCAGGUGCGAACAGUCAUGUGAUCAGUAUCAGGUGUGAUCAGAUCAGUAUCAGGUGUGAACAGUCAUGUGAUCAGAUAAGUAUCAGGUGUGAACAGAAUCAAAGUGGACAUAAAACCAGUUAUGAACUGAGAGAGCGACUGAAAUCAGAGCUUUUUUC